rnacentral:rRNA from 1 species
UCGAGAAUCUUCGGCAAUGGGCGCAAGCCUGACCGAGCGACGCCGCGUGGAGGAUGAAGGCCUUCGGGUUGUAAACUCCUGUCGAGGGGGAGGAAGGCGCAAGCUUGACCGAUCCCUGGAGGAAGCACGGGCUAAGUUCGUGCCAGCAGCCGCGGUAAGACGAACCGUGCGAACGUUAUUCGGAAUCACUGGGCUUAAAGCGCGUGUAGGCGGGACGGCACGUCCGACGUUGAAAUCCCCCGGCUCAACCGGGGAACGGGCGCGGAUACGACCGUCCUCGAGGAACGUAGGGGGACCUGGAACUUCCGGUGGAGCGGUGAAAUGCGUUGAGAUCGGAAGGAACGCCCGUGGCGAAAGCGAGGUCCUGGACGUUUACUGACGCUGAGACGCGAAAGCCAGGGGAGCAAACGGGAUUAGAUACCCCUGUAGUCC